rnacentral:rRNA from 1 species
UACGAAGGGGGCUAGCGUUGUUCGGAUUUACUGGGCGUAAAGCGCACGUAGGCGGAUCGUUAAGUCGGGGGUGAAAUCCUGGAGCUCAACUCCAGAACUGCCUUCGAUACUGGCGAUCUUGAGUCCGGAAGAGGUGAGUGGAACUGCGAGUGUAGAGGUGAAAUCGUAGAUAUUCGGAAGAACACCAGUGGCGAAGGCGGCAUCCUGGACCGACAUUGACGCUGAACGGCGAAAGCUAGGGAGCGAACAAG